GUGGGGAAUAUUGCACAAUGGGCGCAAGCCUGAUGCAGCAACGCCGCGUGAGGGAUGACGGCCUUCGGGUUGUAAACCUCUUUUAGCAGGGAAGAAGCGAAAGUGACGGUACCUGCAGAAAAAGCACCGGCUAACUACGUGCCAGCAGCCGCGGUAAUACGUAGGGUGCAAGCGUUGUCCGGAAUUAUUGGGCGUAAAGAGCUCGUAGGCGGUUUGUCGCGUCUGCUGUGAAAACCCGAGGCUCAACCUCGGGCCUGCAGUGGGUACGGGCAGACUAGAGUGCGGUAGGGGAGAUUGGAAUUCCUGGUGUAGCGGUGGAAUGCGCAGAUAUCAGGAGGAACACCGAUGGCGAAGGCAGAUCUCUGGGCCGUAACUGACGCUGAGGAGCGAAAGCGUGGGGAGCGAACAGGAUUAGAUACCCUGGUAGUCC
rnacentral:rRNA from 1 species